rnacentral:rRNA from 1 species
GACGAACGCUGGCGGCGUGCUUAACACAUGCAAGUCGAACGGAAAGGCCCUGCUUUUGUGGGGUGCUCGAGUGGCGAACGGGUGAGUAACACGUGAGUAACCUGCCCUUGACUUUGGGAUAACUUCAGGAAACUGGGGCUAAUACCGGAUAGGAGCUCCUGCUGCAUGGUGGGGGUUGGAAAGUUUCGGCGGUUGGGGAUGGACUCGCGGCUUAUCAGCUUGUUGGUGGGGUAGUGGCUUACCAAGGCUUUGACGGGUAGCCGGCCUGAGAGGGUGAACGGACACAUUGGGACUGAGAUACGGCACAGACUCCUACGGGAGGCAGAAGUGGGGAAUAUUGCACAAAGGGCGGAAGCCUGAUGCAGCAACGCCGCGUGCGGGAUGACGGCAUUCGGGUUGAAAAACGCUUUCGCCUGUGACGAAGCGUGAGAGACGGUAAUGGGUAAAGAAGCACCGGCUAACUACG